rnacentral:misc_RNA from 1 species
AGGUCCGAAAGAUCGAGGCUGCCGUCAGGCAACCCGCGAGUGCCGACACAGACGAAGGCGACAUCAGCUUCUGCGAUUUCAUUCAAACCGGUUGCUAUUGACAGGCGCCCCUGCGAGUGGCUCCCCNNNNNNNNNNNCUCGCUAACCUGCGGCUCUCGAAAUGGUAUGAGCCCGCGCCCCAGGAGAUCGCAGAUCUCAGCAUCGCUAUCCAUUCCAAUAACAGUAUGCCCGUCCCGCAGGAGACCAGCGGCGGUCACGAUCCCGACAUGCCCAAGACCACAAAUAACAACACGCAUUAGAUGCCUUCGUACGAACUAUUCGUUGGGAAGUUUCUUGAGUAUCGCCGGCGUCUGCUGCCGGUUCAGAGCAAUUAUGUUUGUAUUCUAGAUGUUUNNNNNNNNNNNNGCCCAAAUAAUCGCUUCCGGAAUGGACUGGCGCCGCACAGAUGCCGAUGGAUCGAAAGAGGCCCUUUUGAACACCUUCGACCAUGAGGUGAGAAGCAGCGUUAU